AACUUUUCACAUUUUUAGAAAACAAAACCUAACUAUAGGAGAAUCAAUACAUAUUACCUUUGAAGAAACUAACUCUGAGUUUGUAGAGGUAGAAUUCUUUAAUUGUGCAUGUAUUAUGGAGAAAAUUUUCUUAAAAGACAAAGAUUCACAUAAAAACAAAGACAAAGACAAAUAUUUAAAACAAGGAAAAAAAAAGAUCAAGUCGAAGAAGAAAAAAUAGAUAAUCAUUAAGAACGAUCUGAG
rnacentral:lncRNA from 1 species